rnacentral:lncRNA from 1 species
GACUUAUGGAUGAAUGGAUUAUCAUGGGAGUGGCUUUGGUGUACAAGUGGGCUCUCUCUGCCACGCUCGAUCUGUCUUGCCGUGUGGUGCCCUCUGCCAGGUUGUCAUGCAGCAGGAAGACCCCCACCAGGUGCCAUCAUCAGGUUCUUAAGACUUCCCAGCCUCCGGAGCCAUGAGCCAGAUAAACCUCCGUUCUUUAUAAACGACCCCACCUGUGGUAUUCAGUUAUAGCAACAGAAAGCGGACUAAGGCAUAUGGUAAGUAACAUAGUCAUGGAAACAGCCAUCAUGAAGGCAGAGGUUCCUAUUCAGAGUUCCCCUCAGAGGGCAGGCAUGGCCCACUAUACAGGGGGUCAGUUGAGGCAGAGAGAACCAAGGGAAAAUGUGCUAGAGCUUUUAUUGUGCUCUCCAUGGGAAAGCCUAAUCGUGCAGAGUUAGGUUUAGGAUUUGGCAAGUUUGGAUAAUUUCAGCAGAUUCUAGGGCAUAGGGCUGUCCCCGGUUGCCUGGUACCUGGCCCUUGAGUAACUAGGACAGAGGAAUAUUGGCCUGGGGGGUAAGAGUGUCCUGUGCUGUGUAAACUUGGGACGGUUGGUCUUUGGAAAGGCGUGUUCCUGGGCACACCAGCUGUUUACUAUCUCUGGAACUUAGCUAACUGUGGGAGGGGCCGUUGCUCAGGAUGGCAGCGUCAAGAGGGCAAAACAUGAGAUAGUAUCAGACCUAAGAAGCUUGGCACACAGACCUCUCCUCCCUCUGCCCUCUGCCCACCAGCUUCCUCCCCCGACCCCGCGCACCUGACCCUGCUCAGAUCCUUGCUCUGCCUGCCUGCCUUCCACGGCAGGGCUCUGUCCCUGGUCCUGUCUGCCUCCCUGGGUCCUGAGCCAUCAGGUUCACCCCGGGGACUUCUGGGUCCCUCCUGGAGCCCUGGAUCCAGGAGUCCAGCCACCUCCCAAUGCCCCGAUGUCUGUCAUCCCCAGAGCUCAUCUCAACCCUGUGCUCUGCCCAGGUGGGGGCUGAGCAGCCUCCCUCUGGGCUCCAAGGCUGUUCCCGUGGCUGAGUCACGCAAAGACAUGAGCACACCGCGAUUUCUCAGAAAUCGGCUCUUUGCCAAUCUGGCCCCAAAGAGCACGUGACCUUGAGGGACACAGAGGGGGCUGUGCUGGCCUUCCUCCCCUGCAGCCGGCUGCCCACCGUCUCAGUCCAUUUUCUAGGCUAUAGCGAGCGCCACGGACUGGGUCCAUUAUGAGCAGUGGAAGAGCAUCUGUGCUCUAUUCCGGGAGUCCCUGCGCCUGGCGCCAUCAUCAGGCCGGGGGCCUUAGCGGUGAGUCCCAAAUGGCAGAAGGGCCAGGAAGUGUGCAAGAGACGGAACCGGGCCCCACUUGCCCUGUUUAACAGGACCUGCUACUGCAAUCAGCAAUCCCAGGACAGAGGUUCCACCUUUUAAGACUGUUAGGCAGUCACCCUGCGCUACCUGGGCGGGGCUGUGGCCGGGAGGCAGGGCACUUGUGGGCAGGCUGGAGGCCCGGAGUCCGUCCCCAGCCCUGGAACAAACAAGCUCCAGAAUGAGCUUUGGAGGGAAUAUUCUAAGCAUGGCCCUGGUCAGAUCUGAUGGGUCUUCCUCCUUCACCUCUCGGAGUCCCUCUUCCUCUGUCCCAGUGCCCGUGUUUCCAUUCAUCUGCCAAGACGCAGACACCUGACUCUGUCUGCCCCCAGACCCAGCCUCAGCCAUUAGCCAGAGGGGAUCCUGAAACAGUCACGGAGGGCAUCUCCCACCCCCGCCUAGAAGGCCUAUUGCCCCGAAGAAAGCUCAACCUGACCCUGGUCUGAGUCUGUCCCCCAGGGCUCCUGGGAUGGAGGGGUGGUCCCCAGGAUAGGGAUGCUGAGAGAUGACAGGUUGUUAGGAGUUGGGGGUCCAGUGGCGGUUGUUUAGCUCACUGAGGGCGCUAGAGAGGACCCCAUGCUUUGUGGAACUCUGGUUAGCACUCAUCAGAGUACUAGUUCUCAAUGUCAUAAAGAGAGCAGGUCUGGCCCGGGCAUGGUGGCACAUACCUGCAAUCCCAGCAACUUAGGAGGCUGAGGAAGGAGGAUCACAAGUUCAAGGCCAACCCCAGCAACUUAGAGGUAGGAAGUAGGCCCAAAAUAAUUUAGUGAGACCUUGACUCGAAACAAAAAAAUAAAAAGGGCUAGGGAUGUGGCUCGGUGGUAAAGCACCCCUGGGUUCACCAUCCCCAGUACAAAAAAAAAAAAAGCCCCGUGAUGCACCCAGAGGAGAGCCGAUAUGGGUACCAUGCCCUUGAACCUCCUGAGCUGUGUGCUAAGGAAGCCUCUUUUCUUUAUAAAGGACUCAGCCUCAGGAUCUCAUUGUAGUUACAGCAAACAUGCCUCUUAGAUGGAGCCACAAGCCCUUCCCUGCUAAACUCUGUAGGCCUUUGGGCGGCCGUGAGCAUUUCCUGUUGCCUAGACCACAGGCCCCUGGCUUACUCAUCACCAUGCCAACACAUCCUCUGUCUGCCUCAAAGUCACGUCCUCUCUGCUAUCAGAUUAAUAAAGAGCAGAUUUUGAGAAGUCAUGGUGUGGGUGUGGGUGCGGACAUGGCAGGUGUGACCGAGCCCGGGGGAACAGCCUUGGAGCAGGGCAGUUAGACGAGGCUGUAAAAGUCACCCAUCACCUCCCAUGCAGCCACCUUAUUGGGGGACUCUAUCCUGCAGAUAAACUUGAGCACACGAGAGAA